rnacentral:ncRNA from 1 species
GUUCAAUGCCUUUAAUUCUAGCUCUCAGAAGGCUGAGACAGGAGUAUAGGGUAAACGGCGGGAGUAACUAUGACUCUCUUAAGGUAGCCAAAUGCCUCAUCAUCUAAUUAGUGACGCGCAUGAAU